rnacentral:rRNA from 1 species
AGUUAACGCUGGCAGCGUGCAUAACACAUGCAAGUCGAGCGGGUUUUGACAGUGUAUCGUUAAAAUUAGCGGCAGACGAGUGAGUAACACGUAAGAAAUCUACCCCGAAAAGGGAACAACCUGCCGAAAGGCGGGCUAAUACCCUAUAUAAUCCCAAGGUGACAUCAUCUCGGGAUGAAAGGCGUAAGCCGUUUUGGGAGGAUCUUGCGACCUAUCAGCUUGUUGGUGGGGUAACGGCCCACCAAGGCUAUGACGGGUAGCCGGCCUGAA